GUAGAGUGAUCGAAAGAUGAAAAGCACUUUGAAAGAGGGUUAAACAGCACGUGAAAUUGUUAAAAGGGAAGCGCUUGUGACCAGACUUGCGUUCGGUGAAUCACCCAGCUCUCGCGGCUGGGGCACUUCGCCGGCUCAGGCCAGCAUCAGCUCGCUGUCGGGGACAAAAGCUUCAGGAACGUAGCUCUCUUCGGGGAGUGUUAUAGCCUGUUGCAUAAUACCCUUCGGCGGGCUGAGGUACGCGCUCCGCAAGGAUGCUGGCAUAAUGGUCAUCAGCGACCCGUCUUGAAACACGGACCAAGGAGUCAACCUUAUGUGCGAGUGU
rnacentral:rRNA from 1 species